AAUUUGUGAAUAUAGAAUGGGUGUAAACUAUUAAGGACAUUGCAAAACUAUGCCUUAUCAUUAGGCGGAGGGCUUGUUCAGGGUGUCAGGCGGCCAGUACAAAGUGUGGCGUGGACACUGUUUAGUUGGGUUCUACUUGUUAUACGGAACAAUAAAUAAAUAAUUAAAGGCAACCUCUUAGACAGGGUAAAAAUGCUUAAAUUAACAGAAUACGAGCUGGCGCCUUCUCAAUAUUAGUCAACUAAAGAAAAAUAACAAUCUGUUCUGCCCACAAACAUUCAUUCUCUUACUGUCUUUCAUUUUCCCUUCUUUUUGUCUUCUUCUGUCCAAACUCUUUACCCUUCACCAACUUUCUAUCUGUUCUGUUCUGUUGAGGUGCAUCUUCUGUGCAUCCCCGGCCCGGCAGCAGACGACGCCAGGACUUGCUGAAAACUUUAGUGUGGCGUGGCGGCUUACAACGGGAAUAUGGAGGUGUGCAUGCUUAGUGUGCACAGUUACUAGCAAUGUAUGUAUCGCAAUGUUGUAUAUGCAGUAAAAAAUAUUGUGUGCAGAGAAAAGUAAGCAAAUAUGAAGUAUUACACGUAUAUUUGGUCCUUAAAUAGUGAUGGCCAUGACUGACCGGGAAAGAAGCUCAUUUUGGCGUUAUGGCGUAUUGAAAUAUUGUUAGUGUGUAAAUAGAUGAAAAAUUUAAUGUUUCAUAUACCUUGCUACUGAAAGUGCAGUAAACAUAGCGAGUUAUGCUAUAAUGGACAUGUAUCCGGUCCUCAACACAACGUACUCUGGUGAUCCACAGGUUCACGUGGAGGAGAUAUCGAGAUUAAAAUGGUGAACAGAAAAGUCUGACUGAGUGUUUAGCAGUGGAUGAGAGAUGAAUUAAGGAAAUGGUUGGCAUGCCAAGGAAUGUUUGAUGGGCGUGUCCCACAGAAUUAAAUGGAGGUGCUCCUUUGUGAAGGGUCACACCAUAUCACUCCCCGUGAUGUUCUCCUUUGUAAAGGAUCGCACCAUAUGACUUCCCUGCCUCUCACCACUGUCAGUAAGGAAUACAUUUCAGAAUCCUCUGCAUCUGGGGAGGAGCCUGGAGUGGACACUUCCCCAGCCACAGACCAUGCUGGUGUGAGGCAGCAGCCUGAGGUGCUCCUUUGUGAAGGGUCACAGUGUAUCACUCCCCUGCCUCUCACCACUGUUGGGAAGGAAUGCAUU